GUGCUCACUUCAACAGAACAUAUACUAAAAUUGGAAGGAUAUAGGGAAGAUUAGCAUGGCCCCUAUACAAGAAUGACGCACAAAUCCGUGAAGCAUUCCAUAUUUUA
ensembl:snRNA U6 U6 spliceosomal RNA